GAACACGGAGCUUGCUCUGUGGGAUCAGUGGCGAACGGGUGAGUAACACGUGAGCAACCUGCCCCUGACUCUGGGAUAAGCGCUGGAAACGGCGUCUAAUACUGGAUAUGUGACGUGACCGCAUGGUCUGCGUCUGGAAAGAAUUUCGGUUGGGGAUGGGCUCGCGGCCUAUCAGCUUGUUGGUGAGGUAAUGGCUCACCAAGGCGUCGACGGGUAGCCGGCCUGAGAGGGUGACCGGCCACACUGGGACUGAGACACGGCCCAGACUCCUACGGGAGGCAGCAGUGGGGAAUAUUGCACAAUGGGCGCAAGCCUGAUGCAGCAACGCCGCGUGAGGGACGACGGCCUUCGGGUUGUAAACCUCUUUUAGCAGGGAAGAAGCGAAAGUGACGGUACCUGCAGAAAAAGCGCCGGCUAAC
rnacentral:rRNA from 1 species